AAGAAGUUAGUUUAAAAUAAAACAUUAAUUUGUCAAAUUAAAAAUAUUUAAUUAAUAUUUCUUA
rnacentral:tRNA from 1 species